rnacentral:misc_RNA from 1 species
GAAAUGCGAUAAGUAAUGUGAAUUGCAGAAUUCAGUGAAUCAUCGAAUCUUUGAACGCACAUUGCGCCCAUUAGUAUUCUAGUGGGCAUGCCUGUUCGAGCGUCAUUUCAACCCUUAAGCCUAGCUUAGUGUUGGGAGACUGCCUAAUACGCAGCUCCUCAAAACCAGUGGCGGAGUCUGUUCGUGCUCUGAGCGUAGUAAUUUUUUAUCUCGCUUCUGCAAGCCGGCCAGACGACAGCCAUAAACCGCACCCUCUCGGGGGGCACUUUUUUAAUGGUUGACCUCGGAUCAGGUAGGAAUACCCGCUGAACUUAA